rnacentral:rRNA from 1 species
GGAAUUUUCCGCAAUGGGCGCAAGCCUGACGGAGCAACGCCGCGUGGGGGAUGACGCUUUUCGGAGUGUAAACCCCUUUUCUCAGGGAAGAAGAGCUUCGGCUUUGACGGUACCUGAGGAAGAAGGACCGGCUAACUACGUGCCAGCAGCCGCGGUAAUACGUAGGGUCCGAGCGUUGUCCGGAGUUACUGGGCGUAAAGCGCGCGCAGGCGGCUCGUUAAGACCGGCGUGAAAGCCCCCGGCUCAACCGGGGAGGGUCGUUGGUGACUGGCGAGCUUGAAGACAGCAGGGGCAGGUGGAAUUCCCGGUGUAGUGGUGAAAUGCGUAGAGAUCGGGAGGAACACCCGUGGCGAAGGCGGCCUGCUGGGCUGAUCUUGACGCUGAGGCGCGAAGGCGUGGGGAGCGAA